rnacentral:rRNA from 1 species
GACGAACCGUGCGAACGUUGUUCGGAAUCACUGGGCUUAAAGGGCGCGUAGGCGGCUCGCGAGGUCGGGGGUGAAAUCCUACGGCUUAACCGUAGAAGUGCCUUCGAUACCGGCGGGCUGGAGGAAGGUAGGGGUGCGCGGAACUUCUGGUGGAGCGGUGAAAUGCGUUGAUAUCAGAAGGAACGCCGGCGGCGAAAGCGGCGCACUGGACCUUUUCUGACGCUGAGGCGCGAAAGCCAGGGGAG